rnacentral:lncRNA from 1 species
ACACAGCCUGGCUACACUGCCCUAGCAGCCCAGAAGCACCUUGUGUGUUUCUUCUCCUGAAGCAAUGAAACAAGGUAAUAUAAUUGCUUUUAGAAUCUUCACCAUUAUUCCUACCUUUGCUCACUGAAAGAACAGUUUCCUCUAGCACCAGCUGCCACGCCGUGCUCUCCAUGUACCAUCAUCUGGACACACAGAGCAACUUCAGGGAUACACAGUAUAAAUCCAUCCUGGAAGAGACCACUAAUCCGUCCCUCAGAUGCAAAGUAGCAGUAAUAUUACUGAACACGGUGUCAAUCUGAUGUUGAGACUAAGCAAACCGGAGUUACACUUUUGGGACUGGUAAAAUAAGACAUUCUUCUUGGAAGUCUUUACUUCAAAUAGGCCUGAAGGAUGAAAGUGUGUAUCAGCACCCUCACACAGAUAUCAGAGUCCUUUCAAGGUGUGACAGCACUAUGAAUUCCCCUUUCUCCCCAUCAUGCUUUAUCGGAGGCUAAGCAUACGACUUAUCUGCGACAUUGGACCGCUUUCUCCAGCUACUCUGCUCCCCUUCCAUGGAACAGGAUAGAGUGUAAAGACAGAAAUUUACCACUGUGACUCUUCUGAUCUUAUACACAUCUUGGGCUCAGUAGGUCUCCUGAAAGUGAUAAAAGCUCCACCUUUAAGAAAAACACCACGGAAUUAAGUUACCUGUGAAGGAGAAACCACCUCAGCCUCGGCUGAUUGUUCCAGGGAUUAUUGCACUCGCUAAUGAAGAGCAUUCUGCUGUCAAAUAUCUGUCCUGAUUCAGGUGGUGGCAAGUAGAGAGCAGUCUACUUCUCAACCUUCUUUCCCGUGAGCCGGACAGAGGUAGGCCUCGGAGCCUUCCCAUUGCACUGCUACCAAUGUUCAUCAGACACAUGUUGGAGCACAUGUUUGCACCCAGCUGAACAAUCAAUCUCCCUACGACCUGACCUCUUUGUUAUCUGCCCCUUAGCCAUUCUCUGGUACUGGUUGCAGAUGUCAUCAGCAAUGUGCCUUUGUUCCACAACAUCAAUAAUGUUCAAUAGAAGCACAGUUUCUG